UAGCGCUGAGCCGUCCACGAUCCUUACAUCUCUUUCGCCUUUUACUAAAGAGAUCAGCGAGUACGGCUCACGAAAGGCGCAUAUCUAAAUAUUUGCAGGCCUGUUGGCCGCCU
rnacentral:snRNA from 1 species